rnacentral:rRNA from 1 species
GGUUUGAUCAUGGCUCAGAUUGAACGCUGGCGGGAUGCUUUACACAUGCAAGUCGAACGGCAGCACGGACUUGGCCCGUGGCGAGGCGAAUCGGUGAGCAGCAGAUUGCCGCCAGUAAUGGGGAUAACUACGCGAAAGGUAGCUAAUACCGCAUACGCCCUUCGGGGGGAAAGUGGGGACUGCCUCGCGGUAAUCAUUAGAGCGGCCGAUAUCGGAUUAGCUAGUUGGUGGGGUAACGGCUCACCAAGGCGACGAUCCGUAGCUGGUUUGAGAGGACGACCAGCCACACUGGGACUGAGACACGGCCCGUAUUCCACGGAGGCAGCAGUGGGGAAUUUUGACAAUGGGGAAACCCCGAUCCAGCCAUCCCGCGUGUGCGAUGAAGGCCUUCGGGUUGUGGAAGCAGACUUUGGCAGAGAAGAAACGGCGUCGGAUAAUGUUCGCAACCGACGAAAUCAAGAAUAAGCACCUGGCGAAUUCGCGCCGGCAGCCAUGGCAAUACGUAGGGUGCAAGCGUUAAUCGGAAUUACUGGGCGUAAAAGCGUGCGCAGGCGGUUCGGAAAGAAAGAUGUGAAAUCCCAGAGCUUAACUUUGGAACUGCAUUUUUAACUACCGAGCUAGAGUGUGUCAGAGGGAGGUGGAAUUCCCGCGUGUAGCAGUGAAAUGCGUAGAUAUGCGGAGGAACAAUUGACAGCAAGGCGUUCUCCGGGAUAACACUGACGUCGCGCACAAAAGGUGGGACAUAAAACAGAUUAGAUACCUGUAGUCCACGCCCAAACGAUGUCAACUAGCUGUUGGGGCCUUCGCCUUGGUAGCGCAGCUAACGGUGAAGUUGACCGCCUGGGGGAGAGCAUGGUCGAUUAAACUCAGCAAUUGAUUUGGACCGCACAAGCGGUGGAUGAUGUGGAUUAAUUGAUGCAACGAAACUUACCUUAAAUUUGACAUGUCUGGAAUCCCGAAGAGAUUUGGGAGUGUCAGUAAGAGAACCGGAACACAGGUGCUGCAUGGCUGUCGUCAGCUCGUGUCGUGAGAUGUUGGGUUAAGUCCCAACGAGCGCAACCCUUGUCAUUAGUUGCUACGAAAGGCACUGCACGAGACUGUUUUUCGGUGACAAACCGAGGAAGGUGGGGAUGACGUCAAGUCUCAUGGCCUUUAUGGCAGGGCCUUACACGUCAUACAAUGGUCAACAGACGUGGCUCAACCCGCGAGGGGGAGCCAAUCCCAGAAACCCGAUCGUAGCCGGGAUCGCAGUCUGCAACUCGACUGCGUGAAGUCGGAAUCGCUAGUAAUCGCGGAUCAGCAUGUCGCGGUGAAUACGUUCCCGCAUCUUCGCGGUACACACCGCCCGUCACACCAUGGGAGUGGGUUUUACCAGAAGUAGCUAGCCUAACCGUAAGGAGGGCGAUUACCACGGUAGGAUUCAUGACUGGGGUGAAGUCGUAACAAGGUAG